AGAUGAGAAGAACAUUUAAGUUUUCCUCUUUUACCUCCAGAAUAAUAUAAUGGAACCACUUAUCUUUUUCAGAAAUCAACUCUAAGGAAAGAAGUGGUCAGGAAACCUGUUGAAAGAAAAUGAAAGCAAUGUAUUUCAGCAAUUACUUAAAUCCUGCAAGAAGAUCAUGUUUGAUGGGUUGCUUCCCUUUCCUGUAUCAUUCUCCCAAUAAUAUUAAGGCAGCGUGUAGAGCUGAAUGAAAACACUGGGCUCAGUAUCUAGGAAACCAGAAAUUUAGCCCUACUGCUGUCACUAUGAACUGUGAAUCUCUGCGCCCUUGAGUAAGUCACUUUCUUUCACUCUACUUCAUUGUUCAAAUCAAUAAUGUGAGAGACUAGAUGAGAGUUCUUUAAGAUCUUGUGUCACACUAAGAAACUAAUUUUGAUUCUGUUAUCCUAAAAAUCUAUUUUUAGAUACUAUUGUGGCAUUUUGGACUUCUAAGUGAUCUAUAUAAAGUACAUGUUGGAAGUCCCUGGAGUCCCUUGAAAUGAUGCUGGGAAUGACAGCUCGGUAAGAGAGCAGUAGACAGACCUUUUAGUCUGGGUCACCUUGAGGUUUCAGUGUGUUGACAAGUAUGCAGAAUGGCCACAUUUUAAGGGCUGUUUUCCAAUAUGGUAGGACCUCUGAAAAGUGGCCUUGUGUUUGGGCCAUUAGGGAUCCAUUGUCUAGGUACUUUGUGGUUUAACUAGUAUAUUGCGCUACCAAAAAGCCUUUUUUUAUUUGGAAACACCAGAAGCUCAGAAUCUAUCUACUGUUUUACAUAUACAAUGUGAAAACAUCUUAGUGU
rnacentral:lncRNA from 1 species